GUAUUGUAAACAACCACUCCUUUCAUUAAGAUAUCGAUAAGAAUACAAUGUUAUGUUCACACUGACCUUACAGCAGGAAAUUGUAAUUUCCUUCGACCGGAAGUACAUUUGUGUUGAUUUUAGCUGAAUUUUUUUUUGUUCAAUGCACUUGUCACAAAAAAAAAGAAUGAAAUCAAGGGUUAUCUUCUCUUUGUAAGGGGAGGCAGAUACCAUAAUGUAAUUUAUAGUGAUGUAUGUAAUAAACGAAUUUAAUCUACUU
rnacentral:misc_RNA from 1 species